rnacentral:lncRNA from 1 species
CUGAAAAAUUGGAAAAAAGACAGCCUAUUGAAUUGAGUUCUUCUUUGCAAGCGAGCCACAGAAAGUCACUGGAGGGGGUGGCGUCGGCCCGCCCUCAUCCCUCACAGCCGGCCGUUGAAGACGUGUGGAGGAGCAGUGAGGCCGCAGUUCCACUCUGCGGCGCUGCUGGGAGAUCAUUGAGCGGGGCUGCCCCAUCCCUCUUAACGCUGUGCCACAAUGAGUGUUUUUAUCC